AGCCAAGAACCAAGUGACGUUACAGGAAAAAAAAUUAAACACUAAAUUGGAUAAUGCCAGUGAUUGAAGUGUUAGAUCAAGGAGGUGGUUAAAAACAUACAUUUGGCUGUUCAUUUAAAAAACAAAAAAAACCCAGACGUCCUUGGAGAAUUUGACUACUAACUUUAAACCAAAAUGUCCUUGUUCUUCAUAUCAUUUCUUUUGGGAAUGUUGGGUCAUUUUAACCACUGCAUCUUUUGCUCCCGCAUUAACCCCUUUCCAAAACAAGAAACUGACUUGGUGUUGGGAAUGUGAUAAACGAUACAAUCCAAAAUCCUAGACCUAACACUUUUAAGGAACAUGCUCUAUGCCCGAUAUCUGGAGACUUUGGGUUCUGCUCUGUUCCAGCUAUUAAUAGUGUUGUGGAUUUGUCUCUUGCUCUCCAUUUAAAUGUUGAAAAUGGGAAAUUGUGAAUGAUCUGGCUCCUAUCACGUGCCAUUUUGGUUAUGUGAAUAUCUGGCAUUCAGAAUUGCUUGGCCCAGAGUCAAAGUAAAGGACCAGGUAGUCUAAAAUGUCUGCCAAAAUUCACAUAUCCUCACUAACUGCUGUGGAUCUCCAGAAAGUCACAGUUUUCCAAAGUGGCUGGCUGGAUGCUUGUGGCUUUCAGAUUUUCUUGAUAAGGAGUAUGCUUUUCUGGUUUAUGCUAUCAAGGGGAAAUGUUAAUUUUUACAUGUGAUUACUAGCCUAAUGUUUUUUAAAAAACCUUCAAUUUAAAGAAAAGGAAUUUUAGUUUAAAAUGCUUAAGAAAACUUUAGCUAUAAAUUAUCCGGCUGCUUUAGCAAAGAACCUGUUCCAGUUUUACCUUCACAAAGUGCUAUUCUACUGUUAGUGCACUGAUGCAGUAUAGUUACCAUUGUAGCAGCUCCAUGCGCCCAAGCUGAUGCUUCAAAAUAAAAGGGAUGAUGUGUUAUCUGACUGUGAGUCUACACAAACUAAAAUAAUCUCAGGUGUUAAUUGGUAAGGAUGCAAGGAAGUAUAUUGUUAAUGUUUCUCUUUGCAGUUCUUCAGUGGCUCUUGGUCCUAAUCUGCAUGAUCCCCUUAUUUGUGACCCAUGCUGAAACUUUCUUCAGGGGAAUUUUAAACUUGCUGAGUUUUAGCUUAAAAAAAAGAGAAAAAUAUGUGGGGAAACAGUGGAGAAAUAGCACCUUAACUCUGUUUGAUUGAAAUCAUUGACACGCGUGACUAUCCUUGGGCAGAUGCAACAGAAAUAUUCUAUGAUUUUCCUUGCUAAAUAUUAGAAGUGCUUAGAAGGAUUGAAAUCUAUAUUCUUUUAUCCUAACCCUAAGUACCAAAUUUUUCCAUAAUUACCAAUAUUGGCAUGUCCUUCUGAAAUGAGACUUGAGAAUUAACAUUGCUAUUUAAAAUCUGAAAGAAUUUCAUCAGUUUGUCAGAGGUAAUUAUUGAAAUAUAACAACCCUUGACUUUCAAACAAUGGAGAGCUUUAACCUGUCAGAGGCUCAGUAUCCUAGGUAAAUGUUCCAGUUGCUUCUUCACGGACUUUCUAAACGUCUUUGAGGAAAUAAUGUUGUCUGGCAAACUUUUAGUGUCAGUCUGAAGUAGGAGUUAAACCUUUGCCUCCUUGCCCUCUUAAAAGUAAGGUGUGUCUUUUAAGCUUUGUGUAGACUCGAAAAACAAGAUGGAUAGAUAACAUUAGCUAAUGCAUUGACUUAAUUUAUUAAUGCAAGUUAGUACUCAGUGUAAACUAGAUUUUUUUUUUUUUAAGUCAGAAAACUGUUAGCUAGUCAGGGUCAGUCCUAAGAGCCCUUGCCCUAAGUAGGAGCCCCCAAGUAAAACUAUUACUGAAACCACUGAUGUUGGCAGUUGAUCCUUUGUUUGUGAAGGGGUGGCCUUCAAAGCAUUUCUGUUGGAUCUGCUCCUCUUGUGUAAGAAGAAUAUGAAGUGGGAGGAGUCUCUCAACUCCUACCCUGCUACGUAUCUCAUAGGAAUUCCAUGACUCGGGUUUAUUAUUUUGGACACAAAAUGGAUGGAGAGACUUGCUCACACUGAAUUACCUCCUAUAGAAUUUGCUUAUUUAUAUUACUGCUUCUGGCUUCUAGGAGGUGGACAGGGUUAUGUACCUCAUACCUAUGUAAAAUAUACAGGUGGGAUGAGUUUAAACCCUGAACAGGAUAUAAAGGCCUCCACAUUUCAGUGUGUUGCUCCUCCUGUGAUCUUCUAUCUGCAACAAAUCAUUUGAUUUUUUUUUUCCCUCUCCCCUUCCCCUCCCUUGCCAGGGAAGCCUGGGAUAAUAUCAGAAUAGAUCCCUGGCUCCUUUGGAUUAUUCAGACUAGACAGCCUACAUGUUUCCCUCGCUUUAUGCGGGUUCUAUAUGUGCGAAUUCACUCUUGUGCGAUGACCUUUUUUAUACGAAAAAUUUGUUAUAUGCAAGGUAAAUUCUCUCAUGCGAUUGGUGUGGUGAAAAGCCUGCAGUCAGCUGCUUUGUGCGGUGCAUUGUGGGAGUGAUGCACACCAAAACAGUCUCCUGUAUGGAUCUGUGCUCCUCACUCAUUAUCUGCAACACGUGUUUCUGUAGUUGCCAUGCCCAUUAUGAUAGUACGCACAAGUACAGGGCACUAUCUGCUGUUGGUGAGUACUAAAAUUGUCUUGUAAAAGUGGUAGAAAUGGGUCUAGGGGUCAGUACAGUCGAAGUCUUUGAACAUACCCCUAUUAGUUGUAUUUUAAAGUGGUUCCCUUUAUGUGAAUUCGAGUUAUGCGCCGUUUUCCAGGAACACAUGUACAGCAUAAAGUGAGGGAAACCUGCAUUUAGUUUUAGUCUGUUUUAAUUUACUAAGUCUACUACCUGCUUUACCUUCUUCCCUCCCUUUUGCAGGACUCUAUCUUAUGAUAGCAUUUUGCAACAGGGAGAUCAAUUUUUCUUCUUGAAGCCAUAGAGGAUGUUCCUCUCUUCAUGGGAAAGAGCUGUUUAUGUUCUUCCUGAGUCCCAAGAAGAAAAAUUGGACAACAAUUCAGAUGAUCCAGUGCAUGCAUGCAUUCCUCCCUGAAUCAGAAUAGUCCUUUCUCUAGAUCCAAAAGACUUUCACAGCUCUUGGUCUGCAGGGGCAUGUUUCCAUAUUUUGAUACAUUGCACUUGCAAGGAACACUUUGAUUCAUAGUAGCAGUAUAACAUUUCCAUGAGGUGUCCCCUUAGACCUGUCAGACUCAGUUGUUUAUUUACUGGUUUUCUCCUUCCCAUGUUGCACUGCUCCCUUAAACCCCUCCCCCCCCACACACACACACGGCACUGGAGGAUACUAGGAGUCCCCUUUCUCUGUCCCUUCCCUCAGUGCACUGCUCCCUCACUGCAUCCCCUGGGCAGAAAGUAUUUAUGGGAUAACAGGGUACUAACAUGUACACUCUUGAAUAAACUUUUGGAUAGUGGGAGGAGCGAGGGACCCUUCCUUUGGAAAUCUUGGGCGUUGGUUUUGAGACAUGGGUAAGCAGAUAAAAUUGCUGCUUAUAGUAGCUUUCCUAGACUUUACCACUGUGUAGUCAUCUGCUUUAGUUCAGUUUUGCAUUCAUGACAAACUAAAGUAAGAGCAGUUCUCAAACAGUAACAUUGUUAGAGUUUUAGGGGGCAUAUCAUUGUGCAGAGACACUGUCACAUUGUUCCAGGUCCAUCAUUCUUCAUAUGUAGCUGCUAAAAAAGUAAUAGGAAUGUGAUGAUAUGCAAAAUAUACUAAAACCUCAACUUGUUUCUUACAAUAUAAAUAGAAAAAUAAAUAAGUGCUGAAUUCCAUAAGUCUAUAAAAAGCUGAGCUACAGGUCAUGUGUUUUUCUAUAUAAAAGAAGAAUCGUGGGGUUGUAUCUGAAUUUUCUGGUCUAGCUUUAUAAAUAAAGCACCAUAGGUCAUGUACUAUAUUAUGGCUUGAUGCUGUAUAGGACACCUAGGGACUGUGCUGCUCUGUAAAACUGCCAAAGUAUGAAGGCAUGGGGACCCAGCCUAUGAUCCCAGGAGACUGUCAUCAGAAACAUCUGCCAAGUCCACCCGAGAGAUCCAAUCCACCCUCUUUAUAGUUUCUCCCUCUGAGCUCUUGCUCAGUUCUUAAGCUUAUGAAUAUUUAUUACUCAGUGCUCAGUAUCUUCUGUGUAAACACUGCUCUGCCCAAGAACUACCAUACUGCAGGCACUGGUUAGUUCUGGCCACUUCAGAUAAACUGGCUUGCUCCGUCUCCUUGCGUAUGUAUAUACAGAUGCAAGCAGACAGAUCCAUUAAUUUCUCAACCUCCUCCCUUUUUAUUGAAACACAGUUAUCGAAAGACAUGUGAGUUACAUAAGUCUUAAGUUGUUGGUUCCUGUGUUUUUUCUGGAGCUACGUGAAAGACUUAUAAAAACAGAAGGAGGUGUAAUAGUAGAUGCAACAAGAAAGAAGCAUCACUGGUGUCAAAGCAGGACACAGUGGGAUGAAGCAAAUGUAUUGUUAAGUCACGUUAGAGGAGAUGCUCUGAAAAUCUGGAAAUGAGAGAGAAAUGCCAGGGCAGUAGGUUGUAAAAUAAAUCAGUAAAAACCCUUUUGGGGGAGAAUGUUGCACAUUUGAUUAAUUUCUUUAAAGUAAAGAGGUACCAAGAUUGGUUGCCCGUGAAAUGACUUGAAAAAUGUUCAUCUGAAGGCUGCAACUUUGAAGAUUCUGAAGUGGACGUGUCAGACCAACUGCAUCCAUAAGGGGUCUGAUUUAUGAACAUCUGUCGAGUAUGGUCAUUCCAACUUCAAUGUCAUCUCUGGGUAUCAUCAAUAGUGCUGCAGCUAGACCCACAUCAGUCAGUAAAUUACCUCUAUCAAAAAAAACCUUCAUUGAGUUGAAACCAGAGCUAAGGUCAUAAUGGGGACCAACAAAUUCCAGCAAGAAUACAUACAUAUUUGGUUAAUUUGCACAACAAAAUCUCAGUUUUUAAACUUUGUUACCAAUGUUAAAUAAUUUAUUUGAUUCAAUGAUUUAAGACCAGGUUACGCUACAUGGCAGAUGAACAUUGUUGGAAGGUUGCUGGAUACUGUUUGAAGGAAAUUUAACAGAGUAUAAAACCACAACAGGAAACUUUGUCUUGAUGUGUUUAGCAAGGCACACAACAGAAAGUGGGAUUGUCUAUCUUCCAGAAAUUCCUGAUAUACCAGGAAAUACCUUAGGCACAAUACUUUAAAAGAAUUAAAACUAGAACAUACAAUGGACUGUGAACAAAAAUGUAAAUGGCAGGAGUUAACUUUUCCUUGUGGACAAGGCUACCAAUGUAGCCAAGUUGAACAUAAUAAAGGAACCUGUAAUUUGAGUGCCGUGUUCAUUUGCAUUUUUUUUGUCAGACUGACAUACUCUGUGCAUAAAGGAACAUCUUAAAAUUGCAAGAUACUUGACAACAAUUUUUCCUUCAGCUUUGUGAAGGAAGCAAGAGGAUUCAAACUACAUUUAUCUCCAAGACACGCAGUGAAAUUCAGCGGUUAGUUGCUUUGAGUCCUUAAAAACAUAUAUAUUAUUUUGAUGACUACGGAAAAAAUUGUAGCACAAUAGAUGGAAUUCACAAUGGAAGAAGUCAACACACAAUGAAGCAGAAUGUAGAAAUGCUGACCCUGUUGAAACCUAUGUCCAUAGCCUUGGACAAACUGGAAAGAUUUACUGCUGUAUUGCAGUGCUGUUGAUUUGAAAUUUGGAAAGCACUUCAAGAUACAUCGAAGAAAGAAAUAGCCAACAACAAAGUUAAAAUGCAAGCAGUAAAGAAUUAAAUGAAGCACUUCACCGUACUUUAUUGCCAAUAUCCUCAACUCACCAGGAUUGUUGCGUGACUGCUAGAGAAAAAAGAUACAGCUAUAUGGGGUAUCUAAUUAUCUUCCACCAGUAAUGCCAGCCCUGGCAAACUUCAGGAUUGGGGGUGAAUCACUUGAGCAGUGUGUGGAUUUUUUUUUUGUUUUUGUUUUAAGAGGCUUGUUGCACUGAACCACAGGAAGCCACCAGGUAAGCAGCUGGGACUGGAACUGAAUAUUUCAACAAACAAGCCUUUGAAAGCAAGUAGCCUCAUCUGCAGGCAAAGUAAAUCUUCAUUUGGACUCUUAUCUUCAAAAGUGCAAGAUUUAAUUGGAAGUUAAAGAAGCAGGAAAAUGUCUCUCUUCCCCCACUCUGGUGGAGAAAAGGGUGCAAAAUAGGAGGUGAGAUCUGCUAAUUCUUUAAAAGUUUGAAGGGUGGCCAAAGUAACUCAAACUACUUCAUUUUUCAAGGUUAGUCGAGGGAAUAGGAAGCUAGUUUACAGCACUUUCAAUUGAACGUACUUGAAACUUAUUUUUCCCCCAGGUUAACUUUUAAAUGCAUUUAUUUCACUAAUUGCAGUUAAUACUUGUAAAUGUGAAAAAUCUUUUGAUUUAAGGGAAGUUGUAUGUAUCUGAAACAUUUUAAGGAUUAAACAGCUUGUUAAUAAAGAAAUGUGUGCUAUUCAGUGUGUUUUUUACUUAAAUUUCAGUUAGCAUCCUAAUGUAGUUGCUUCAUACACCAUGAGUAAUAUAUCUGGGAAAGGAGCAAUAGAUCAUUAGUUAUUUUCUAACUUACUGAGAAACACUAAGUCCUGAUUAUUUUUUCAACACCUGGAGGACAAAUCUGCCUUGCGUGCAGGUUGUGGGAAAAAAAAAAAACCCUGUUUGGGAAUUUUUUUUCAAGAAAUUCCUGUGCCCCUUGGGAAGAGGAACAUGUGCUAAAUGUAAACAGUACAAUGAAGAUGCAAAGCCUGGUAGCUCAAAGGAAGCAACAUGAAAAAUGUUCCUCAGAAGGCAGUGAACUUGAAGAUGGUGAUGUGGACAUGUCCAAACUGUCCGGAUCCAUUGGUUAGUAAACUUAAUAUUUUUGAAUCAUUCCUGUGUGUUACCUGCCAUAUAGCAGUAUUAGUAAAUUAUAAACGUAUGAUGAUGUUAAUUAUUUUGGGUGGGUUACUUACGAAUUUCAAAAAGGUUAUGUUCAAAAUCUAAUGGAUGUGCCAGUUUUCGGGAGUUUUUGUAAAUUAUACAUUUGUAAUAUUAGCCCUGCACUUCUGAAAUGAGUCUUACUGUUUAGUGUAAACAAAUACACCAGUCCUAGGUAAAGAGAUCUUAUGCAGAAUACAGUUUAAUAGGCAUUUAUGAAUUUUAAAAUCAAGCUGUUCUAUAUUGGUAAAGAAAAGGGUUUAAGUAGAAGAAGAUAACCUUUAUGAUUUAGUGAAUAUUUUCCCUAUAGAAUUUACUUUGAAAAUAUAUAUUGUUUAAUCACAGGUUAAAAAAUGUGCUAUGGGGAGGGAUUUUUUUCACUUAUCGCAUUACAGUCUCAGUAGUGUUCAGUGUGAGUGACUUUUUUUUUUUAACCAUUUUGUUUCAAGGUCCAUCUUAGACCUAAGAACAUCCAUCAUCUGCAACUUAGGAAUCCUCUGCUGGUACCACCAAGAGUCCUGCGACUAAACAUGCCUCAGACGGUGAAUUACCUGUAUCCAAAAAGAGCUUGUUCAUUACCAAGUAAAACUAUGGAUGAGGGCAUAAUUAGGACCAGCAAAGUGCAGUAGGACCACAUAGAUGAAAAGAUUGCUCAGUUCAUUUAUGCAACACGUUCUCUCUUUAGUCUUGUUCAGAACAAAAACUUCACUGACAUGGUUCAGUCAUUACCAGCAGGUUACACUUCACCCACCAGAGCAGAUGCUGUAAGGAUUCUGGGUAUAGUUUCCCUUCUCAUACACUAACAAUGUGCAAAAAACAUUGCAGGAAGAAGUGAUAAUUUAAGUCUUGCUGGAUGGAGCAGUGCUUGCUGCGAUCCAGUAAUAUGUGCUUGUGUCCCAGCAGAAGAUGGGACUGUUUAUCUCGGAAACAAUUGAUACCUCAGGAAAAGCCUGUGCUGCAAAAUAUUUUAAAGAAGUAACAGUAAAAGCUAUAGCAAUCUGAGCAAAAAUUUAAGCAUCAUGUGUGUUGCCUUGUCACAGAUAAUCCUGCAAAUGUAGCAAAGAUGAGAAGAAAUUUAGAGGAAAAUGAAGCACACCUAAAACUUACUGAGUACACUGUUAAUUGUAUGUAUCUUAUAGCCAAAGAUUUAAGUGCUCCAAGAAUAAAGAAAAAAAUUGAAAUUGCAAAAUACGUCCUAUAACAACCAAUUUGCUUCAGCUUCACUGAAGAGAACUGGAGAAUCCAAGCCAAUUCUCUCCUAAGAUGUGUGAUAGAAUUCAGUGGCUGACUGUUUUGAGCUACUUAUUAAGAACUGGCCUAGUUUGAUGACCAUCUGUGAAGAAAAUCAUGGUAAAAUUGAUGAAAGUAUCAUAGCUAGAGUAGUUCAACAUUGGACUAAAGAGAAAUGUAGGUUUUGGCAUAUUCAGUGCAUCUUGUAUGUCCACAGCCUUAGACAAACUACUGCUGCUGUAUUGCAGAUGCUGUUGAAAUUUGGAAAGACCUUGAAGAACCUCUUAAGCAAGAAAUACCCAAUAGCAAAAUUAAAUUGCUGGCAGUAAAGAAGCGAAUGGGUCAAGCACUUGCUCCACCUUGGUUUCUUGACAACAGACAUCUACCCUGGUACUUUAGGUUAAGCAUAACUGCCAAAGAAGAAAGUGCUGUUAUGACAUGAGCAUCUACUGAUCAGCCAUAACAUAUUUUAGGGCUAGAGUUUGAACCAUUCAAGCAGCACGUGUUUGCUGAAGAUGUUUUAAAGAAAGUCCCACCCCUUAACUGGUGGACGUCACUGGCAAACACCUGGAAAAAGAGUGAGAUUUGAGUUUUGAAAACUUGAAAGAUGUCUUGUGGUGGGGGGGGAUUUUCAAAAUGGCCGAAGUCAAUUUUUUUAAACCGCUUUGUUAAAGAGAAUUGGGUGAGUAAGAGAUGUAAACUCAAAUGAUUUUCACCUAGGCAUUUUUAGACAAUUUCCCCCAGGGUCACCUGAAAGAAUUUGUUUGAUUUACUAACUGCAGUUCACAUUUCUAAUACUAUAACAGCUAAUACUAACUUUUAAUAAAUUUAGUUGUAAACGUGGACUAUGGUUUGAUUUUUAAAAGUUUCUGUAUACAAAACAAUACUUUGUUUAAUAAAUGUGUAGUGCUGAUCUUGUGUGUGCCAACUAAAUUGAAGUUGCCAUCUUAAUGCAGCUUGAUACAGAUAUGAACAACAUUGUAGUUGCAUAGUGAAUAUGAAAUAUUUCACCACUUAAUAGCAUAUUAAACUACAGGAUAUUUAAUGAACCAAAUAUGUUGAGCUGCAUUUUUUUUUAAUUAUGGUAUACGUAAUUUGCGUACCUAGGAAACAGCAAAUCUACUGUAAAAACUGUAUUUGAUUGCAAAUCAACAUGCUGUAUCAACCCAUGAAAUACACCUUUCUUUAAAACCAAAAAAACUACAGUGGGAGAGUUGAUUGGUAUCAGUGAUUUUAGUUGAUCAAUAUCAGGCUUUGCCUUACUAAUUGAAA